GAUGAACGCUAGCGACAGGCCUAACACAUGCAAGUCGAGGGGCAGCGGGUACUUCGGUACGCCGGCGACCGGCGCACGGGUGCGUAACGCGUAUGUAACCUGCCCGCAACAGGGGCACAGCUCCCCGAAAGGGGAAUUAAUGCCGCAUAAGACCACGUUUUCGCCUGGGAACGCGGUAAAACAUUCAUGGGUUGCGGAUGGGCAUGCGUGGCAUUAGCUUGAUGGCGGGGUAACGGCCCACCAUGGCUGCGAUGCCUAGGGGUUCUGAGAGGAAGGUCCCCCACACCGGUACUGAGGCACGGACCGGACUCCUACGGGAGGCAGCAGUGAGGAAUAUUGGUCAAUGGCCGCAAGGCUGAACCAGCCAUGUCGCGUGCGGGAUGACGGCCCUACGGGUCUUAAACCGCUUUUGCACGGGAAGAAAAAGCGUCUACGUGUAGACGUGUGACGGUACCGUGCGAAUAAGCAUCGGCUAACUCCGUGCCAGCAGCCGCGGUAAUACGGAGGAUGCGAGCGUUAUCCGGAUUUAUUGGGUUUAAAGGGUGCGCAGGCGGGAUAUUAAKUCAGGGGUGAAAUUUUGCGGCUCAACCCGUAAGGACUGCCUUUUGAUACUGGUAUUCCUUGAGUCGGGUCGAGGCAUGCGGAAUGCGGCGUGUAGCGGUGAAAAUGCAUAGAUAUGCCGCAGAACGCCGAAUUGCGAAGGCAGCAUGCCAGCCCCGUACUGACGCUGAGGCACGAAAGCGCGGGUAUCAAACAGGAUUAGAUACCCUGGUAGUCCGCGCCGUAAACGAUGAUUACCGGUUGUUCGCGGUAAACGGCGAGUGACUGAGCGAGAGCAUUAAGUAAUCCACCUGGGGAGUACGUCGGCAACGAUGAAACUCAAAGGAAUUGACGGGGGCCCGCACAAGCGGAGGAACAUGUGGUUUAAUUCGAUGAUACGCGAGGAACCUUACCCGGGUUUGAACGGGAGACGACGCGGGAUGAAAGUUCCGUUUCUUCGGACGUCUUCCGAGGUGCUGCAUGGUUGUCGUCAGCUCGUGCCGUGAGGUGUCGGGUUAAGUCCCAUAACGAGCGCAACCCCUGCCGCCAGUUGCCAGCAUGUAAUGAUGGGGACUCUGGCGGGACUGCCGGUGUAAACCGCGAGGAAGGCGGGGAUGACGUCAAAUCAGCACGGCCCUUACAUCCGGGGCUACACACGUGUUACAAUGGCCGGUACAGAGGGCUGCGAGCCUGCGAAGGCAAGCGAAUCCUCAAAGCCGGUCUUAGUUCGGAUCGGAGUCUGCAACCCGACUCCGUGAAGCCGGAUUCGCUAGUAAUCGCGCAUCAGCCACGGCGCGGUGAAUACGUUCCCGGGCCUUGUACACACCGCCCGUCAAGCCAUGGGAGCCGGGGGUACCUGAAGUAUGUAACCGCAAGGAGCGUCCUAGGGUAAAACCGGUGACUGKGGC
rnacentral:rRNA from 1 species